rnacentral:rRNA from 1 species
UACCAGCACCCCGAGUGGUCGGGACGAUUAUUGGGCCUAAAGCAUCCGUAGCCGGUUCUACAAGUCUUCCGUUAAAUCCACCUGCUUAACAGAUGGGCUGCGGAGGAUACUAUGGAGCUAGGAGGCGGGAGAGGCAAGCGGUACUUAGUGGGUAGGGGUAAAAUCCGUUGAUCCAUUGAAGACCACCAGUGGCGAAGGCGGCUUGCCAGAACGCACUCGAC